GUGCCAGACUCCUACGGGAGGCAGCAGUGAGGAAUAUUGGUCAAUGGGCGCAAGCCUGAGCCAGCCAAGUCGCGUGAGGGAUGACGGUCCUAUGGAUUGUAAACCUCUUUUGUCGGGGAGCAAGGCCCGCCACGUGUGGCGGGAAGGAGAGUACCCGAAGAAAAAGCAUCGGCUAACUCCGUGCCAGCAGCCGCGGGAAUAAGGAGGAUGCGCGCGUUAUCCGGAUUUAUUGGGUUUAAAGGGUGCGCAGGCGGAAUGUCAAGUCAGCGGUAAAAUUUCGGGGCUCAACCCCGUCGUGCCGUUGAAACUGGCGUUCUUGAGUGAGCGAGAAGUAUGCGGAAUGCGUGGUGUAGCGGUGAAAUGCAUAGAUAUCACGCAGAACUCCGAUUGCGAAGGCAGCAUACCGGCGCUCAACUGACGCUCAUGCACGAAAGCGUGGGUAUCGAACAGGAUUAGAUACCCUGGUAUA
rnacentral:rRNA from 1 species